GGGUUUGUAGCUCAGUGGUAGAGUGCUUGCCUAGCACGUGUGAGGCACUGGGUUCGAUUCUCAGCACCA
rnacentral:tRNA from 1 species